rnacentral:rRNA from 1 species
GACGUAGGGGGCAAGCGUCGUUCGGAAUUAUUGGGCGUAAAGCGCUCGUAGGCGGGACAGGAAGUUCGUGUUGAAAGACCUCGGCUCAACUGAGGGACCGGCUCGAAUACUCUUGUUCUUGAGGCAAUCAGAGGGUGAUGGAAUUCCCGGAGUAGCGGUGAAAUGCGUAGAUAUCGGGAGGAACACCAGUGGCGAAGGCGAUCACCUGGGGUUGUUCUGACGCUGAGGAGCGAAAGCUAGGGGAGCAAACGGG